rnacentral:rRNA from 1 species
GAAGAACCUUACCUGGGCUUGACAUCACCGAAAUCACCUUUAUACGGUGAGUGCCUCGAUUUAUCGAGGAAUCGUGUGACAGGUGCUGCAUGGCUGUCGUCAGUUCGUGUCGUGAGAUGUUGGGUUAAGUCCCGCAACGAACGCAACCCCUGUCUUUAGUUACCAGCAUUAAGUUGGGGACUCUAGAGAGACUGCCAAGGUGACAACUUGGAGGAAGGUGGGGACGACGUCAAGUCAUCAUGGUCCUUACGUCCAGGGCUAGAAACGUACUACAAUGGUUGGCACAGAGGGCAGCAACACAGCGAUGUGAAGCAAAUCCUUAAAACCAACCUCAGUUCGGAUUGGAGUCUGCAACUCGACUCCAUGAAGUUGGAAUCGCUAGUAAUCGCGGAUCAGCAAUGCCGCGGUGAAUACGUUCCCGGGUCUUGUACACACCGCCCGUCAAGUCAACCGAGUUAUU